rnacentral:rRNA from 1 species
GACGAACGCUGGCGGCGUGCUUAACACAUGCAAGUCGAGCGGUAAGGCUCCUUCGGGAGUACACGAGCGGCGAACGGGUGAGUAACACGUGAGCAAUCUGCCCUUCACACAGGGAUAACUCCGGGAAACCGAAGCUAAUACCUGAUACGACCACUUCAGGCAUCUGAUGGUGGUGGAAAGUUCCGGCGGUGAAGGAUGAGCUCGCGGCCUAUCAGCUUGUUGGUGGGGUAACGGCCCACCAAGGCAACGACGGGUAGCCGGCCUGAGAGGGUGACCGGCCACACUGGGACUGAGACACGGCCCAGACUCCUACGGGAGGCAGCAGUGGGGAAUAUUGGACAAUGGGCGAAAGCCUGAUCCAGCAACGCCGCGUGAGGGAUGACGGCCUUCGGGUUGUAAACCUCUUUCAGCAGGGACGAAGCGCAAGUGACGGUACCUGCAGAAGAAGCACCGGCCAACUACGUGCCAGCCGCCGCCGUAAAAC